UUUUAAACAAAUAAUAAAAAUUAAAUAUAGUUGACAAUGAGAUUAUUAAAUUUAAGAGUUAAUUGAUCAAUAAUCGAAGAAUUAAUAAGUUUGAAAAUUUAAUUAAAAUUUGAAUUAGUUUAAUUAAUAAAAUUAGAAGAAUUAAUAAGUUUGCGGACUUAAUUAAACUUUGAGUUAAUUAAUUAAAUAAAUUCAGGGAUUUAAUUGAAAUUAACCUAAGGGCACAGUUAGAAAUCAAUUAUUACUGAUUAGGAUCCCAAUUGUUAAGUUUAAACUGUUUAGGGGUCAAAGUGAAUAUUUCCAUUUCUGUCGAAACGGCACCGUUGCUGGGGAACAGUCGUGCAUCUUCUUCAUUCCGAUUCAACAGGGAAGCUGGAAAAUCGGCAGCAAAGCCAGACCCAAUCGUGACCAUGUUCUCUGCCCACAAUCCCGUUCGUGGAGGGAUAACAGUCCUGCAAAGCCAGGACUGGUUUGAGGGGCAAGCUCUUUGGGCCUUAUAAAAGGCAGAGCAGAGCAGAAGGAGGAGAUGGACCCAAAAAACAGAGAAAACGAGAGCAAAAACAGAGAGCAGAAAUACAGAGCAAAAAAACAAAACACAGAAAAGAGAAGGAAAAGUAAAGGAGCAGGACAGAUAGGAGUAUUGGCUUAGCCAUUGCUUUUGUCCCUGCAGACAAAGGAAAAAACCCAGAAAAACAGAGCAAUCAACCCAAAAAAAUACAGAGUCAAGAACGAAAACACAGGGAGAGGGGAAACAGAGGAAAAAAUAGAGAGGCGCGCAGAAAUACAAAAAGAAAUAACACGCAGAGCAGGGGAGAAAAAGGGCAGCAUACACACAGACAAGGAUUGAUUGUCCCUGCCAUCGUUUUAUCCCUGCAAAAACAAAAAACAAAGACAACAAUCGGUAUCCACAGUAAACCGGCAUCUUCAUUGUUGUUUCCUUCGUCAUCUCAAAAUCUGCUGGAAGAAGAAAGCAGACCGCGAGCACAGGAACAAAAGAAAGCAGAAGAAGGAGCAGAGGAGAGGAGGUAGUCGGCCAGCCAGAGCUUCACCACCGUCUCCAUCGCCUCGCAGACCAGAUAGGUUGCUGAUGUACUGUUGGAAAACAGCCUUAAAACCAGGUGGAAAACCAUGUCUCCUGCAUUACGAAAAUAUUUUAAAUCAGAGUUUUUUGCCUUGUCCAGAAGCAGCUGACAGAAAUACCAAAUCUGUCGAGGCCAUUGUAGUUUGCAGGAGGUAUUGUGAGCAGUGCAAGGAAUUUUAUCAGCUUGAUACUCAUUGUCGAGAGCUCGUGAAAAAUAAAGCUUCCGGCUCAGUAGAGGAAAUGGAGAACUAAGAAAAUAAACAUGGUUAAAAUUGACCUAAGGAGACUCCUAAAAUAGUUUUCUAUCAAGAAUCUUCCGUUUCUCUUUUUUUUUUUUUUUGAUUUACGUGGGGUGUCCGGGUCAGCUUACGCGCACCACGACUAUUCCCCACGGCCCGCUGGACAUCCUGCAAGCCCAGGAGCAGGUAAGGCACCGCGGGGGUGACAGGCGUACACAUAGAGGGUCGAACCCGGGACGGGGACGGAACAAGUCACACGAAUUGACCACAACAGUUAAACCUUCAAGUACUGGGUACACACGAGAGCUCGAACCAGGACACUCAGGCAAGGCAAAGCCUGCCAAGGCCACUGAGCUACAAGCCCCGUGUGUCGUUUCUCUUUUUAUGAGACCUAGAAAUGGACCUCCGUUUUCCCAGACAUGGUCCGAAACAACACAGACCUGACAUGAUCUUAUUACGAUGAAUUAAGCGUAAUGGCCUGAGAUAUUAUUUCGGCUUUGUCUUGCAUAUGUAGGGAAAGUAGAACCCCAGCCUAGCCCACUCUGCCAAGAGGACAGGCUUUUCACAAUUUCUUGAAAAUUAAUGCCCAAUAAAUUUCAAGUAAAAAACAUCCACAAUCAACUACCGUCUAAAACUCGAGAGAGAGAGAGAUUGGCCUUUUGUUUUUCUUCUGAAUUCAAACUUUGAAUUAGAAAUUAAUUAAAUUCCUCUAUAUACAUAGAAAAAAAACUAGCUAAAUAUAACUCUUCGGUGAUUUUUUGAACAUAAAUUUUACUUGUUCUUCUAAUUAGAAAUUAGAACAUUCACAGCUGCUAUGCGCACCAUCAGACAGCAUCAAAGAAUUUCCAUGAAACAUGCACUUAUAGACGAAUACUCUGUAGCUACUACUUACAUGAAACAAAAAAUGUACAAGACAUGAUAGAACUCAACAACAAAUUACAGGUGAUACACAGAUGAUGAUUAGUGCCCGGGGCCUUCCCCGCUAGGUCCAGAGGAAGUCGGCUUAUACACCUGCCGGUCAGUUGCUGAAACCCGACCACCACCGUCGUCCUUGACAGGCUCUGAAUGAACCGAAGCUUUCAUAUUGGUCGACACAGAACCAGGCCCAUGAUCAUCAGUAUCAGUGGCUUCAUGGUGAUCAUUGAUUUCGUUCUGUGUUCCUGAUCGAAGGGCUCUACAAUUGACAAGACAUGGGUUUGUAACAAGUAGGAUCAUGGCCAAGAUGAACAGCACUAAACAGAAGUGUCUCAUUGCUUUGGUAUGUUGUAGCUGUUAGGUUAUGUUUUUCAAGCUCUAAUAAUAACUCCACCUUUGACAACGCUUGAAAUAUUCUGUUGAGACCCAAAAAGAAUGGAGCUCUUUUUUUUGUCUUUUGGUUGGGGCAAAGAACGGAGCUGAAGGAAUUGAUUUGGAUUUUGGAAUCUCUAUUAAAUAGGAUACCGACCUCAAAGUAUACACACAAGUCAUGAUCAUCUAAGGGAUGGUUUGGUUUGGUUUGGGUGGCACAGGACGGAGAAGGGCUUUUCCUCCAUGGGGCCUUCAUUUGAGAGAACAUUUGACUUGGAAUUCUCCUGUUCGUUUCAAAAAGCAAAUUUCACUUUCACAGUUGUGUUUUUCCAUUCCUUUUGUCUAUGGAACUGAUUUACCUAA